UACGUAGGGGGCAAGCGUUGUCCGGAUUUACUGGGCGUAAAGGGCGCGUAGGCGGUUCGCUAAGUUGAAUGUGAAAACUCUGGACUUAACCCAGAGCCUGCAUCCAAAACUGGCGAACUGGAGUACUGGAGGGGAAAGCGGAAUUCCUGGUGUAGCGGUGAAAUGCGUAGAUAUCAGGAGGAACACCGGUGGCGAAGGCGGGUCUCUGGGCCGAUACUGACGCUGAGGAGCGAAAGCGUGGGGAGCGAACAGG
rnacentral:rRNA from 1 species